CCCCACUUACGUCCGCCAGACACCGCUGAUCGUUGGCUUACACCGACUGUGUUUCCAGGUUUGUCAGUACAGUAUCCGUGUUGCUUGGUGUGACAGCUGUUCCUUAUCUGGGAGAGUGAUCAAUGUGUUCACCACUCGUUAGGUUUGUUCAAAUACAAUGAUCUUUGGACCUACCCAAAAUGAUUCAGGUUCCUGCCUAUUAUCACCGACUGGCUUUUUAAUGGUGUCGGCAAUGGUCGGACUAUAUCGAUAUUCACUUAAA